rnacentral:snRNA from 1 species
AACCCGGCCUAGAAUGCACAAAAAAAAUCUGUUCUUAUCAGUUUAAUAUCUGAUACGUCCCCCAUCGGGGGACUACAUAUUAAAUGGAUUUUUCGAACAGGGAGUCGGAAAUGGGGCUUGCUCCGUCUGUUCCACUCAUCGACCCGGUAUAGCAGUACCUCCGGAAACGGUGCAACACUU